rnacentral:tRNA from 1 species
GUUAGGGUGNNCAGAGCCCGGUAACUGCGUAAAACUUAAACCUUUAUUAUCAGAGGUUCAAUUCCUCUCCCUAACA